UACGUAGGAUGCAAGCGUUGUCCGGAUUUACUGGGCGUAAAGCGCGCGCAGGCGGCAUACCAAGUAUUCAGUGAAAUCUCCCUGCUCAACGGGGAGGGUGCUGAGUAGACUGGUAAGCUAGAGGACGGUAGAGGGGGGUAGAAUUGCUGGUGUAGCGGUGAAAUGCGUAGAGAUCAGCAGGAAUACCCGUGGCGAAGGCGGCCCCCUGGGCCGUUUCUGACGCUGAGGCGCGAAGGCUAGGGGAGCGAACGGG
rnacentral:rRNA from 2 species